rnacentral:rRNA from 1 species
UGUACACGCUGUGACUAGCAUAUCAAUAAGCGGAGGAAAAGAAACUAACAAGGAUUCCCCUAGUAACGGCGAGUGAAGCGGGAAGAGCUCAAAUUUGAAAUCUUAAAGGGUUUCCCUUUACGAAUUGUAGUUUAAAGAAGUGUUUUCUGUUGAGGUUUUGGUAAAAGUUCUUUGGAAUAGGACAUCAUAGAGGGUGAGAAUCCCGUAUUUGACCUUUACUUUCAACUUUGUGAUACACUUUCAAAGAGUCGGAUUGUUUGGGAAUGCAGUCCAAAAUGGGUGGUAAAUUUCAUCUAAAGCUAAAUAUUGGCGAGAGACCGAUAGCGAACAAGUACCGUGAGGGAAAGAUGAGAAGAACUUUGAAAAGAGAGUUAAACAGUACGUGAAAUUGUCAAAAGGGAAGCGUUUGACACCAGUGUUGUUUUUCUGAAAAUCAAUUAAAGAACUGUUUAUGCUAAGUUGUUUAGACUUUAUCAGCUAUCUGUUUAGUUUUGAGCUUUUCUUUAAUGCACUUUUCAGUUAACAAGUCAACAUCAAUUUCUUUUGCUGUAAAAAAGCUUGAGGAAGGUGGCUUGAGAUUCGUCUUAAGUGUUUAUAGCCUCUUGCCUAUGCAGUCGGAGAGAUUGAGGUCUGCAGCGUAGAUCCUUCGGGGCUAAAUGCAUUUGUGCUAAGUUAUAGCAUUUUAUAGACAACUUGUUGACUAUGAUUUGUCUUGUAGCUUACUCGCUUAUGUUAUUUUACCUACGCUUAGGAUGUUGACGCGCGUGUGUGCGUG